AUUGAACGCUGGCGGCAUGCUUUGCACAUGCAAGUCGAGCGGCAGCGCGGGGGCAACCCUGGCGGCGAGCGGCGAACGGGUGAGGAAUACAUCGGAACGUGCCCGAGAGUGGGGGAUAACGCCGCGAAAGCGGCGCUAAUACCGCAUAUUCUCUGAGGAGGAAAGUGGGGGACCGCAAGGCCUCACGCUCACGGAGCGGCCGAUGUCGGAUUAGCUAGUUGGUGGGGUAAAGGCUUACCAAGGCGACGAUCCGUAGCUGGUCUGAGAGGAUGAUCGGCCACACUGGGACUGGGACACGGCCCAGACUCCUACGGGAGGCAGCAGUGGGGAAUUUUGGACAAUGGGGGCAACCCUGAUCCAGCCAUGCCGCGUGCGGGAAGAAGGCCUUUGGGUUGUAAACCGCUUUUAGCCGGGAAGAAAAGAUACGGGUUAAUACUCCGUGUUCUUGACGGUACCGGCGGAAUAAGCACCGGCUAACUACGUGCCAGCCGCCGCCGUAAUAC
rnacentral:rRNA from 1 species